rnacentral:rRNA from 1 species
UGCAAGUCGAACGAGAACCCGGAGCUUGCUCUGGGGGAAGUGGCGCACGGGUGAGUAACGCGUAGGCAAUCUGCCCCCAACUGAGGAAUAACCCAUCGAAAGGUGGGCUAAUACCACAUAACGACGGACGACCGCAUGGUCGACCGUCCAAAGUUCAGGCGGUUGGGGAUGAGCCUGCGUUGGAUUAGCUAGUUGGCGGGGUAACGGCCCACCAAGGCGACGAUCCAUAGCGGGUCUGAGAGGAUGAUCCGCCACACUGGCACUGAGACACGGGCCAGACUCCUACGGGAGGCAGCAGUGAGGAAUAUUGCGCAAUGGAGGAAACUCUGACGCAGCCACGCCGCGUGCAGGAAGACACCCCUCAGGGGCGUAAACUGCUUUUAUACGGGAAGAACACCUCGUUCUGCGAGGUCUGACGGUACCGUACGAAUAAGGACCGGCUAACUCCGUGCCAGCAGCCGCGGUAAUACGGAGGGUCCAAGCGUUGUCCGGAAUCACUGGGUGUAAAGGGUGCGCAGGCGGGCCUGUAAGUCAGAGGUGAAAGCCACCGGCCUAACCGGUGAACUGCCUUUGAUACUGCAGGUCUUGAGUCCCGGAGAGGCUAUCGGAAUUCGUGGUGUAGCGGUGAAAUGCGUAAAUAUCACGAGGAACACCGGAUGCGUAAGCGGAUAGCUGGACGGGUACUGACGCUCAGGCACGAAAGCGCGGGGAGCGAACAGGAUUAGAUACCCUGGUAGUCCGCGCCGUAAACGAUGGACGCUCGAUGUUGCACCGCUUCAGGUGCAGUGUCUAAGCUAACGCGUUAAGCGUCCCCCCUGGGGAGUACGAUCGCAAGGUUGAAACUCAAAGGAAUUGGACGGGGGGCCCGCACAAGCGGGGGAACAUGUGGAUUAAUUCGAUG